GUUGUGGGGCUCAGUGGUAGAGCGCUUUCCUAGCAUGUGUGAGGCACUGGGUUCAAUUCUCAGCACCACA
rnacentral:tRNA from 1 species